AGGACGAACGCUGGCGGCGUGCUUAACACAUGCAAGUCAGGGGGCUCAGCAAUGGGUCACCGGCGAACGGGUGCGUAACACGUGAGCAACCUGCCCAAGUGUGGGGGAUAGCCGGCCCAACGGCCGGGUAAUACCGCAUACGCUUCCUAGGGGGCAUUCCCAGGGAAGGAAACCUUCGGGCACAUGGAGGGCUCGCGGCUUAUCAGCUAGUUGGUGGGUAAUGGCUCACCAAGGCUACGA
rnacentral:rRNA from 1 species